rnacentral:lncRNA from 1 species
CAAAAAAUGAGCAGAGGAGAGCUGGGUCUGAGAAACGGGGACAGCGGGGAGGGAGCUGAAAAAGAAUGAGGCUAGGCUGAUCUAUAUGGUAUGGAUCUGAGAAGGUGGGGCAAGUGGAGUAAAGAGGCCAAUAGGUCAUUGAAAUUGUGCAUGUUAGGUCACACAGAUGAAUCAGAAGACAGAGGAAGCCCUGCAAGUUGAGGUAUUUAAAUACAACAGGUGUUUAAAAUGUCUGUUUCUGGGGCAUCUGGGUGGCUCACUCCAUU